rnacentral:rRNA from 1 species
UACGUAGGGGGCUAGCGUUGUCCGGAAUCAUUGGGCGUAAAGAGCGUGUAGGCGGCCCGGUAAGUCCGCUGUAAAAGUCAAAGGCUCAACCUUUGAAUGUCAGUGGAUACUGCCGGGCUAGAGUCCGGAGGAGGCGAGUGGAACUCCUGGUGUAGCGGUGGAAUGCGCAGAUAUCAGGAAGAACACCAACGGCGAAGGCAGCUCGCUGGGACGGUACUGACGCUGAGACGCGAAAGCGUGGGGAGCGAACAGG